rnacentral:rRNA from 1 species
CUACAGAGGUCUCGAGCGUUGUUCGGAUUUACUGGGCGUAAAGGGAGCGUAGGCGGUUUGGUGUGUUGAACGUGAAAUCCCACAACUCAACUGUGGAAAUGCAUUCAAAACUACCAGACUAGAGUACUGGAGAGGAGAGCGGAAUUCUUGGUGUAGCGGUGAAAUGCGUAGAUAUCAAGAGGAACACCGGUGGCGAAGGCGGCUCUCUGGACAGAUACUGACGCUGAGGCUCUAAAGUUAGGGGAGCGAACAGGAUUAGAAACCCCGGUAGUCC